ACGCUCGACACCUACGGGAGGCAGCAGGUGGGGAAUAUUGCACAAUAGGGGGAAACCCUGAUGCAGCGACGCCGCGUGAAGGAAGAAGUAUUUCGGUAUGUAAACUUCUAUCAGCAGGGAAGAAAGUGACGGUACCUGAGUAAGAAGCCCCGGCUAACUACGUGUCAGCAGCCGCGGUAAUCUGAGCGGGCUGGCAAGGC
rnacentral:rRNA from 1 species